rnacentral:lncRNA from 10 species
GCCUGGCUUCCUGCUCUUGCCUUUCUCAGGCACCUCUUCCCACUGGGAGAAGACCACGCGACCUGUCUGCCAGAAAGCCCUCCACCCCACCCCAGACCACCCCAGUCCUGCCUGUGGCCACACCCGUGUGUGGGACCCUCGUCUCCCCAAGGUGAGAUCUUCAGAAAAGUGUGCCUCCCAGCUUCCCACGGCCAGCCACGUCGGCAAAACAUACCUCGGGAGAGGAGUCCGCUGCCAAGGAGGCUGGGAAACAGCCCGGAAGCCCAAUGCGCCUCGGGAGGCUCUGUUUCCAAUCAGCUGGUGGCCGUUCCCCCCAACUCGUUACCAUAACCAGAUUUGGGGCUUCAUGGAGUAUAAUGGACCCACAGCCAUCUCCUUCCCCAACACCAACUCUGCCUGCAUUUUAGGCCAGGUUUGUAGGAGAGUUGAAUGAAGAUUGAAUGAAUGAAUGAUGAAAAGUACAAAAUGCCAUCACUUCACUUCUUUCAGGAAGACCCAGGACACUCUGCUGCAUCCUCCACCUGUUUGUGAAUUAAAUGUCCAUGAUGGCUUUUACUAAGCACUUACUAUGUGCCAGGCACUGUGCUGAGCUCUGCACCUUUAAGAGGCAGCAAGUCGUGACUGGUUCAGAGCUGGCUCAGAGCUGCCUGAGUUGGAAGCCUCGGAUAGGAAAAUGGAAGCUUAAAGAGGUUAAGCCCUGGCCAAGCACAGUAGCUCGUGCCUGUAAUUCCAGCACUUUGGGAGGCCAAGGCGGGAGGAUCACGUGGGCCCAGAAGUUCAAGACUAGCCUGGAUAACAAAGUGAAACCUCAUUUCUACAAAAAAUUUAAAAAUUAGCCAGGUGUGGUGGCACACGCCUAUAAUCCCAGCUACUCCGGAGGCUGAAGCUGGAAUAUCGCCUGAGCCCACAAGUUCAAGGCUGCAGUGAACUAUGAUCAUGCCACUGCGCUCCAGCCUGAGUGACAGAGCAAGACCCUGUCACUAAAAAAGUUGGGGAGGGGGGUCAAGCCCUCUGCUGAGCUAGUAAUAGUGGGACUGAGGUUCAAGCCCAUGGCUGAUUCCAGAUCCUGUUUACAGAGCCGUUAUGUGACGUAACUAAAGUGUUGAUUAUGCAUCGACUAGGCACACCAUGCAAGGUGCUGCGGAUGCUGCUGUCACCAACACACCCAGUCCUGGCCCACAGGGGGCUGCCACCCCAGCCCCCAGUGCUCUCCCUGGAUCCUGAAUCCUAGCUAUCCCUUCAGAGCCACCCCUCUGGCUUCCAAGCACCUGCACUACCCACUCCCACCCCUCCCUGGAAGGGAUGGCGCAGCCUGGGAGCCAGCUGCUCUGGGGGGCUCAGACCUGUGGGCUGGAUUGUCCAUGUGUCAGGGAAGGAAAGGGAAGCCCAUGGCAGGAGGGACACCCUCUUAUGGGUGGUAGCAACUCCAUGGAGCCCAGGCUGCAUCGUUCACUGAGGCUGCUAAUGUUUGAACCUAUCUUUGAAUAAGAUCCACCCUCUUGCACUGGCAAGUCCAAGCUGUAGUAAACCCUGAGGGAGACCCACAGUCCAGCUGCAAGGCCCUGCCCCACUCUUGGCCGCUGGCAGAAGCUCCAGGCUUGCCGAGGGGUGCCACGUAGCAGAGGCAGUCUCCGCCUCUAGCCCAUCCCACUCCUUCAUCUGCUUCUCGUUAGCUUCAAAAGUAAGGCCUGGCGCUGUGCCCUGGGCAGGAGGGAGAGCUUGGUGUGGCCGCUCAGAGCUUCACCUCCCUUGCCUGGGGUUUCUCUUCUCCUGCCCCAUCCAUCGUCAGCACAGCUGACUGCUUCUGGGGCUCCUCUGUCUACCUUCCCCACGUUCCAGCACCCCCCUUCCCCUGCCCCUCUGUAGCAACCGCCUCCCUGCAAAGCCCCACCCACCCACACACUCAUACACACACCCCUCUCACUCCCCUGGCACUCAGUCCCUCCAAGCUUCCUUCCUUAUCCCUUUAGAGCCCUGCAGCCCUCAGGCAGUGUAGCCCAGAGGUUCAAGGGCAUUCGCUCUGGUAUCAGAAGGGUCUGGGUUCAAAUCCCUUGUGCACUGCUUGCUGGCUGUGUGACUUUGGGCAAGUUGCCUAAUCUCUCUGGUCCUCAGUUUUUGCAUCUGUAAAAUGGGGAUGAUAUUAACAGUACCUACUUCAUAGGGUUAUCUUGAGGAUUAAAUAAAAUAGUACAAGUAAAGGUCCCAGCAUAAAAUCAGGGCUGAUCCACCUUAGGUAUAAAAAGGAUAAAUUAGGACUUGGAAUCUUACUCUUCCUAAGGAGACCUGCAGUUGGCUAAAGGAGGACCUGCCUUCAGGGACAGAAAUUCAGGUUUUGUUUUAGAAUAGGCCUGAGGGAGUAGGAAGCUGGAGGAACCUGUCUCUAUAUUCUGGAUACCUCAAAGACAGUUAAAUUCUGCCGUGGUGAGCAUUUAUUGAGCACUAUCUGUGUGCCAGGCACUGUGUGGGGAAACCACAAUCCCUGCAGAUCAAGGAGCUCAGAUUCUAGUGCCAGAAAAAAAUGUAAAGAGAAAGGGCCACCAUGCCACCCACUGAAGACGGCAAGGGAAGAGGCCAGAAAGUGCUACGAACAAGGAGGAAACAGCUCCAAGUUGUUGGGCAGUCGGGCGCUGGGUCUCAAAGGAGGGCCACUUGCAUGGACAGAAGGUACCCCUCUUACUGAGCACUGGGGGCCUGGUGGGUCCCCUGUGCUCUCCAGGAGAAGCAGGCAGAAUUCCUAAGCCCCGUUAGGCCAAUGAGGAAGUUGAGGCACCGAGAGUAAGGGGCAUCUGCUUCCCCACCAGCUGACUUCUAUUCUAGAAAGGAAUGUUCUGCACAACCCCAAACCGUCAGCUCUUUCUGCUUGCAAACUUGGCAGGAGUUUGCAGGGAACACAAAGAAGAGAGGGGGAGGAGCAAGGUGGAUCAGCCGGGCUGGCUUGCCCAGGGCCUGGCACAGAGGAUGGACUUUGUCCCACGUGGGUGAGGGGCGUUCACACACAGGCGUCCACACCCCCACGUUGCUCCACCAGGCAGAAGGCCAGAUUUUGUCCUUGUAAUUCCCAGAACUGCCCUGAAACAGGACUGCUCACUACUGUGCAUGGUUUAAAAUGCAGUGGGGGGUUUUGGGGAGUUUUUUCGUUUGUUUUGAUACGGGGUCUCACUCUGUCACCCAGGCUGGAGUACAGUGGCAUGAUCAUGGCUCACCACAGCCUCAACCUCCCGGGCUCAGGUGAUCCUCCCAUCUCAGCAUCCCGAGUAGCUGAGACUAUAGGCACUUGCCACCAUGCCAGGCUGAUUUUUUCCAUGUUUUUUGUAAAGACAGGGUUUUACCAUAUUGCCCAGGCUGAUCCACCCACCUUAGCCUCCCAAAGUUCUGAGAUUACAGGCAUGAACCACGGUACCUGGCCAAACAUGCAGUAGUUUUAAAAGAAGCCUGCUCAGGGAGAGGAGAAAUGAGUCCUGUCAGAUCUGCUCCCCCUGGAGAAUGGCUUCCUCACCAGCCCAGCCCCUGUCUGUGCCCAGGGGGAAGCAGGCAUGAGGAGGACCAAGGGGGCACUGCCAUGUACUGGCCCCGAGUAAGCCAGGCAGGCCCUCUGCUGGGAUCCUCACAGAUGUCAGUCUCCUCGAUCCUUAAAAUCAGAGCUCUGGAGUCAGUCUCUUGACAGCAAGCCAAGUGGAACGCCUGUGUCUGAGCAGUAGGGCAGAGACCCCGCUCUGCCUGAGCAGCGGAGACAUCUCAGAUCUCGCGGUUGCAGAGGAUCUGCUUCCCCCUCAGAUGCCUGCAGGGGGAAAGAAGCGGAGGCAGGGGGAAAGAAGCGGAGGCAGGGGGUUGUCCUGGCUCACUCUGAGCCCGCCUGGCCUGGGUAGCAGGAACAGGAACUCCAUAGUGGGGACGAGGUUAGAGAGGAGGUGCUAGCCGGCUGCAGCCCCUCACAGGCAGGGCAGCCAGUUACAUCUGAAUUACAGAUAAACCAGAAAUACUUGUAGUUUAAGCAUGGCCCAAGGACUAGGGCAGUGGCAGUGGGGGUAAAGAAGGGGAGAGGUUUAAGAUUGUAUUUGAAGGAACUGAAAUCAGGAUCUUGAAGAGAUGAUAUCUGCGCACCCAGGUUCAUUGCGGUGUUACUCACAAAUGGCCAAGAUCUGGAAACAACCUAAAUGUCCGUCAGUGGAAAAAUGGAUAAAGAAAUUGUAGUAUACACCUAUGAGGGAAUAUUAUUCGACAUUUAAAAAGAAGGAAAUCCAGGGCCAGGGUGGUUGGUCACACCUGUAAUCCCAGCACUUUGGGAGGCCAAGGCAGGAGAAUCAAUCACUUGAAACCAGAAGUUUGAGACCAGCCUGGGCAACAAAGCAAGAUCCUGUCUCUACAAAAAAUUUAAAAAUUAGCCGGGUAUCAUGGCGCAUGCCUGUAGUUUGAACUGCUCAAGAGGAUGAGGCAGGAGGAUCACUUGAGCCCAGGAGCUGGAGGCUGCCCUGAGCUAUGACAGCACUGUUGCAUUCCAGCCUGGGCAACAGAGCGAGACCCGGUAUCUAAAAAAGAGAAAGAAAGAAGAAAGGAGGGAAGGAAGGAAGGGAGAGAGGGAUCAAUCCUGCCAUUUGUGACAACAUGGAUGGACCUGGAGGACAUGAUGAGAUCCUGAAGUAACUCAGACAGAGAAAAUCAAAUACUGCUCUUUCUCUCUUAUACAUGGAACGGAAAACAGCCAAACUCAUAGAAGCAGAAAGUAGAAUGAUGAUUGCCAGGGACUGGGAAGAGGGGGAAACAGAGUGAUGUUGGUCAAAGGGUACAAUGUCUCAGUUACGCAGGAUGAAUACAUUCUGGAGAUCUACUGUACAACUAGGGCCUGUGAUUAACAAUACUGUACUGUACACUUACACAUUUGCUAACAGAGUAGAUCUCAUGUUUAGUCCUCUUACCACAUAAGGAAAUGAAAAAGAAACAGAGGAGACGGAAGGACACUUAGAGUGAUGGAUAAGUUUAUGGCCUUGAUGAAUGUUUUCGCAGGUGUGUACAUAUCUCCAUCCAUCAAGUUGUAUACAUUAAAUAUCUACAGGCUGGGCGUGGUGGCUCAUGCCUGUAAUCCCAGCACUUUGGGAGGCCAUGGCGGGUGGAUCACUUGAGGUCAGGAGUUUGAGACCACCUGGGCAACAUGGUAAAACCCCAUCUCUACUAAAAAUGCAAAAAUUAGCCAGGCAUGGUGGCUCAUGCCUGUAAUCCCAGCUACUCGGGAGGCUGAGGUAUGAGAAUCAUUUGAACCUGGGAGGUGGAGGUUGCAGCAAGCCGAGAUCACACCACUGCACUCCAGCCUGGGAGACAGAGCAAAGUUCCGUCUCAAAACAAACAAAAAAAAAACCUACAGCUUUUUGUGUGUCAAUCAUACCUCCACACUAUGGUUUAAAAAAAGCAUGUGAUUUGGAGAUGGAUGCUCUGUGGAUUGGUAAUAAGUUAGAUGUAGGAGACAAGGACAUGGGAGAAAUCAAGAACAACCCCCAGGCUUCAGGCUUGAGCUACCUCUGGGUUCAUGGGACCACUUACUGGGGAUGGGAGGGCAGGGCAGGAUCAGACUAGAGAGGGGAACCAAGGCUUCUGUUUCUGGUGCUGUUAAAUUUGGGAGGAUUAUUUGAGCCUGAAGUGGAGAUUAUGGUUAUCCAAGCCUGGAGAUUCCGGAAUUAAGGGAAGGUCUGGCUGUGGCGUUACCAGCACCUGGGUGGAAUUUAAAGCCAUGGUUCUGGAUGCAACCUUGUAGGAAGUGAGAGUUCAGAGAGCAGAGACAACUGUCCAGAGCUAGACCUUGAAGACUCCUCAACGCUGAAGGUCACCGAGAGGAGGGACAGCCAAGGAAACUGAGUCGCAGCAGCCGUGGAGGCAGGCGGUUGGACACAUAUUAUGAAGGGAAUGUAGAGCUGGGAUUUACUGCUUCAAACAA